GAAAAUCUAAGCAUUUUGUUCACAACAGUAUUUCCUUUAUAAUAGAUAUGAGUAUGAACAUCUGUCACCAACGGAUCCGGUUCAUCUCCCACAUCAGGAUCAAUAAUAGUUAUUCCAAAUAGAAACCUCCACAAAUCAUCAGUAAACUCAUAAACAACAUUUCCAAUAGUGAAUUUAAAAUAGGAAUCAUCUUUGUCACGUAGUCCAGAAUAAAACACGCGAAUAAGGUCCUCAUUAUAGUCUUGUGAGAGUUGCAAGAAGUAGUCGAUCUUCUGAUGGGAUACAAAAUCAACAACUUCAGGAAGAGCCAACUUAGCAGCCUCAGUGUCUUUCCACACAUAUUGCAUGACAACGAGCCUAUCCUUGUAUUUCUCUUCAAAUUCCUUAUACACCUUCGAGAUACCAAUGAAAAGGUAGUUUCUCUCCAAAUCGAACCAAAAACUAAAAAAAAUACUAAAGCUCUAAAACCAAAAUUAAAUCACUAUGGAGGGGAAUCAAAGCAAGGGACUUUGGGGAUUUGAUUCCACCUCAGUGUCCUCUACAUGAUGGUAAUGAGUUUAAAGCGGAAAAGAGUAAGGUGGAGAGGACCCCCACCUGCAAGGCCAUGGUGUGCCUUAGUAGUUGUUGAAGAUGAAGAUGGAGAUGCUAAAGCAUAUAGAAGACCAGAAGAAGAAUCGGGUAAUCAAUUUGAACUCUUCAGAUUUUUGCUUGCGAUAAAUUCUUCUCUUUCUUCUUUUGAGUAGUCCGUAGGGAUCAAAAUUAUGGAGUUGUUUUGUGUUAUUUUUGUUGUGGUGUGUAUGAUUGGGGGGUAAAGGAAGAGAUUGCAGAUAGGUUGAAAAUGCUUGCAAAGUGAAAACAUAGAGAAUUGAGAUUGUGUUUGUGAGUGCAGAGCGAAUGAAAUGAUUAUUGAUGAUCUUCCAUUAAUUAUGAGUGAGACAAAUUAUAUAGAUGUUGAGGUUCUAACAAAAUUGGGCAAGGAUUUGCGCAGACAGUUAUCCUGUUAGGGCAUGGUUAAGUUUUAGUUAAAUGGGGAGGAAAGUUAGUUGGAACUGUUAACGCUAUUAAAUGUUUCUGUUAAAAUCAGUUAGUUCAAUUAGUUAUUGGAGGGAAUUAUAAGUUAGUUUGAACUUUUAACAGAGUUAGAAGUUCUGUUAGUUGUUAGUUCGAAACUGAAUUAGAGUUGAAUCAGUUGGUUACAGUUGAGUUUGAUGAAUAAGAAUAUUAGUUAAUCAGUUGAAUGACCAUGGCCAUGUGUUAGCUUGAAUUCAAAAUUAGUUAGCCGUGUAGUUUGAGUUUGAGUUAGUUAGUUUAGACUUGACAAUUAGGUUAGUUUGAUUAGUGGAUUUAGAAACUAGUUAGUGAAAUGUUAAUAGGAGUAGAAGUUAGUGUUAGGAUGAAUUGUUACUGUUGUUAGUGAAAUGGGAUUUUUGAACUCAAUUAGUGAUGGAUUUGAAAUUGUGUUAACUGAUUAUGUUGAAAUGUCAUGGGACUUCUGAACUGUGAUUAUUAACAGAUAUGUUAGUGAACCAUACCAAUUAAAAUAUGAUCAAAUUGGUGGUAUGGAACUGUUAGUAGGAAGUUGGUUUGGUUGUAUGUUGAAUUUCCAUGCUAAUAGAUGCUUGAACUAUGUUAGUUAGCUCAAAUGUGUUGGAAAUGUAAUGGAAUAGUUAACUGUUUGUGCCUUGAUUCAAUUAGAAAUGCCCUACUAGCGGUAUUGAUGUUAAUAGGUCAAUGGUGUUUUAAUUUGGUGAUUGUAAUUGCUAGGUAUAAAUUAUUGAUGAUUGUUAGCAAUGUUAAUUAGGAUGUGGUGUUGUUUACAUUUAGACCUUGGAAAAGAGUUUAAAACAAUUGGGAUUUGGAUGUGUUUAAAGGAUGGUGGGCAUGCUAAACUUUGUAUGAAUUGUGAUGAUGUUUGGACUUGAAUUAGAUGCACUGUCUAGGCUUGGUUAUGUUGCUAACAUGCUUUGAUUUUGUAUGGCUAAUGUGAAUUGGAAUUGGUGGCACAUGGUACUGCUAUGAGGUUUUGGAUUGACUGAGUAUGGCAUAGUGUAAAUGGCUAACCACUUUGGUUAACCAGUUACUAACACGACAUUGGUUGGUUAAUUUAUGUGCAAUAGCAUGAAGUAUUAGUUAGAGAUUAGAAUGUUAGAAGGAUUAUGCAGGUUAUUAGUGUUAAAUGUUGCUAAUUCAACAAAAUUGGUUAGGUUGAGCUAUAAAACACUAGGGCAAUGUGUGUUACUGAACUUUCAUGAUAAUUAGUCAAUUUGUGGCAAAAAGAAGUGAUGAUUGGAUGCUAACUAGCAGCUAAGAUAAUUGGAUAAAGUUGUGAUUUGUUUUAGUUUCCAUGGAAUCAAUUGGAAUCAUUAUGGUAUGUUUUAUGUUAUGGUUGGAUUGGCCAUAAAUCCUAUUUUUUUUAUUGAGAUCUGUUGACUUUGUAUACCAUUCCGCUGUAGAUAAAGGAUCUUACCUAUAGGUCAUGUGUUAAUGUAUGGUCUGAGUUCUGAUUGUGUGUGUAUUUGGUUUUGUUGAUGCAUGGAUGGCAUGCCUAUGAUGGAGUGGACAUUGCAUUGGCAUGAUGGUGGCAAGGUUUGAUCAUGGUUUAUGAGGGUUUGAUCAAGGCAUGAAAAACUUGAAUGCUUUGGAGUAAGAAAAUAGAAUUAGGGUUUUGGGAUUCGAAAGUAGACUUUGGUCAAUUAUUGACCAAGAAGUCAAUAAUUGACUAAAGUCAACCCUAUGUCAAAAUGGGUACUUUGUAUCAUGUUUGAAAUUUUGGAUUUUUGUCAUGUACUUUGGUGUUUUGAACAUUAACUACCCUUGUAUGGUUGUAUCUUAUUUUCCAAGCAAUACAAAAUGUCUUUCCCUCCAAUUUUAUGAGUUUUGAAUAA
rnacentral:lncRNA from 1 species